UGUGCGUGCGUGUGUGUGUGUGUGAGUGUGUGUGUGGGUGUGGGUGUGAGUAUAAGCGUACACACAUAUAUCCGAUUUUAUACGAACAUAUAACCUUUGAAUUCGUGCUGUGAAAUAUAUUGUUAGAACCAAAAAACAAGAAACAAAUCGUUAUAGAUUUUAAUGUCAAAUCUUUCUUUUCAUUCGGUUCCAGAUGAAAGACUUCAAUGUUUCCAAACAUUGGUUUUAUUCUCAACUUUUUUCACACCAUUAUUCACAGACAUUGAAGAAUUUCUAUAUUUUUUUUGAAGUAGUUUCUGAUAACUUCAAAUGUGCGAAAGAUAUAGACUUACAUACCUUUGAAAAAAUAACAGUUAAAAUCGAACUGCACUCUUCAAAACCUACAUUAAGAAUAAGAUCGAGAAACCAAAACCAAAGGAAAUGACUACUUUUCUUUCAAACUUUGCUUUUAUCAGCUGGACACCAGUGCUUUGAGACUGACUUUCUUUAGCGCUGACAGAAUUAGCGAAGAAUUGCUGAAGCAGAAAUAUCGACAAAGCUAAUAUCCUGCUCAAUAUCAUAGACUUGCUUGUCAGCUGCUUGAUCUUAACCUCUUGAGUAUAUCCCUUAGUGACUGACAGUAUGGGCAACUCUGAUCAUGAGCAGGAGUAGUGGCGAAGCAAUAAAGCCUUGUGAUUUGAAUAAA